rnacentral:rRNA from 1 species
CCCUUAGAUGUCCUGGGCUGCACGCGCGCUGCACUGAUGCGCUCAACGAGUUUACGAUCUUGCCUUAAAUGGCUGGGUAAUCUUUUUAAAACGCAUCGUGAUAGGGAUAGAUCAUUGCAAUUAUUGAUCUUGAACGAGGAAUUCCUAGUAAACGCGAGUCAUCAGCUCGCAUUGAUUACGUCCCUGCCCUUUGUACACACCGCCCGCCGCACCUACCGAUUGAAUGUUUCGGUGAAGAUUCCGGAUAGGACUUUUUUGAUUUAUUUCAAUUCUGUCUUAAAAGCUAUCUAAACCUCAACAUUUAGAGGAAGGUGAAGUCGUAACA